GGUCAUUAUUGGUUGGGCCGUGAUUUCUCCUGAGCACAUUUUUCACUAGCGAUGAAAGAGCAAGAGAAUGAGAGCUCUCAAUGAAGGCAACAAUGGCUUCGAUCUCUAUCCCAAGCUCCUCCUCCACCCAAACUUCUAAACGUCUUCUCUUCGACCGCCGUUACGGUUGGGUGUAUAAUCGAUGAGUGGAAACCCCCAUCAGAAGAAGCUCUAACCGGUGGCCGAGGAAUGUUUUGCAUUCUACCUCUAGCAAGAGCUUUAUUGAAGAUGGCUUCGCAGUCGAUCAAUCUUGCAGCAAGCUCAGCAGUGAAAGCUCUUGAAAAGCCGGAUCUGUUUUCGCCUCAUGUACUCCAAGCAGGAUUUAAAGGCCAGCUUCAUAAAAUUAAGUCGUCUUUGACGAACUCGGACAUAAAUUCUCUCUCUCAAGGGAAAUCUUCAGUCACAUGAUGAGAGUUUCUCUUUACCUGUACAAACAGAAAGCAGCAAAUAGAAGAUCAGUUGAAGUAGCUUGAUACAUCAAAAUGGUUUCAUGUCAAUGCCUGUACCAUUUUUAGGUCAAUAUAGGCUCACUUGUGGAUCUUCUCAAAGUUUUAGCAUCUGAGUACAUGGCCUUUUUAUUUUUUUUAUUUUUUAAUAUUGAUGACGGUUGUUGUUUGAGUUAUGAUCUUUACUAGCAAAUCAUGAAACUCUUUUUGGGUAAUCCAAGUA